UACAGAGGUCCCAAGCGUUGUUCGGAUUCAUUGGGCGUAAAGGGUGCGUAGGCGGCGCGGUAAGUCGGGUGUGAAAUCUCGGGGCUUAACUCCGAAACUGCAUUCGAUACUGCCGUGCUUGAGGACUGGAGAGGAGACUGGAAUUUACGGUGUAGCGGUGAAAUGCGUAGAUAUCGUAAGGAAGACCAGUGGCGAAGGCGGGUCUCUGGACCACUACUGACGCUGAGGCGCGAAAGCUAGGGGAGCAAACAGG
rnacentral:rRNA from 1 species